UACGUAGGGGGCGAGCGUUAUCCGGAUUUAUUGGGCGUAAAGCGUGUGUAGGCGGUUUAUUAAGCCGGAGAUGAAAUGCUAUGGCUUAACCAUAGUUUGUUUCCGGAACUGGUAGACUAGAGUGCAGUAGAGGCAAUUGGAACUCAUAGUGUAGCGGUGGAAUGCGUAGAUAUUAUGAGGAACAUCAGUGGCGAAGGCGAAUUGCUGGGCUGUUACUGACGCUGAGACACGAAAGCGUGGGGAGCAAAUA
rnacentral:rRNA from 1 species